rnacentral:rRNA from 1 species
UCGGGAAUAUUGCGCAAUGGAGGAAACUCUGACGCAGUGACGCCGCGUGCAGGAAGAAGGUUUUCGGAUUGUAAACUGCUUUAGACAGGGAAGAAAAAAAUGACGGUACCUGUAGAAUAAGCUCCGGCUAACUACGUGCCAGCAGCGCGGUAAUAGAUCUGU